AGGCAGGGUUUGUCAGCCUGGGCACUGCUGAGGUUUUGGGCCGGAAUAGCUAAUGACUGCGGGAGAAAAGAUACUAACUCCUUUCUCUUUGCGUUUUUUGCCCCUACCCUUUUUUCUCUUUUCUGGCCUUAACAUGAUUGUCAAAUAUUUAUAAAUAUGAGUGAGCAUCUUUAUAUUACUCUUAUUAAUAAGAUACAUGCUUAAUUUGUCAUUCUUUACCUUUUUGGGACUUAAUGAAUGUUUGUCUUUUGUAGAUAAAAUGGAGCUGCUAGAAAUAGCAAAAGCCAGCCACCCAUAUUAACCCCUCCAUUUUCCCUAUAAUUAAUGGCUUUCAUUAUUGUGGUAUAUUUGUUACAAUUACUGGACUAAUAUGAUACAUUAUUAUUAACUGACAUCCACAUUUUAUUCAGAUUUCUUUAGUUUUUUGCCUAAUGUCUUUUUCUGUUCCAGGAUCCCCUCCAGAAUACCACAUUACAGUUAAUUGUUAUGUCUCCUUAGUCUCCCCUUGGCUGUGUCAGUUUCACAUCCUUUCUUUGUUUUUGAUGAUAUAGAUGUGAAGAGUACUAGCCAGGAAUAUUAUAGGUAUUGGUUUUUUUAAAUGUAUGUGUCAUUUCAUGAUUAAAAAUCAGUUGCGGCCGGGUGUGGUGGCUCAGCACUUUGGGAGGCUAAGGUGGGAGGAUUGCUUGAGGCCAGGAGUUCAAGACCAGCCUGGCCAAUGUGGCAAAACCCCGUCUCUACUAAAAAUACAAAAAAUAUGGCUGGGCACAGUGGCACACACCUGUAAUCCCAACUACUCGGGAGGCUGAAGCACAAGGAUCGUUUGAACCUGGGGGGUGGAGGUUGUAGUGAGCCAAGAUUGUGCCACUGCAUUCUAGUCUAGGCAACAGGUGAGACUCUGUCUCAAAAAAAAAAAAAAAAAGUGUGGAUUACAGUAUCUGUUGGGCCU
rnacentral:lncRNA from 1 species